CAGAGUACUUGCCCUUCACGGGUAGACCUCCCACCCUUUGAAUUAGUUACCUUUGUUGCUUUGGCAGGCCGCGUCCUGCGACGGACCGGCCUUCGGCUGUCGAGUGCCCUGCCAGAGGACCUAAACUCUGUUUGGUAGAUUGUCUGAGUAGCUAUAUAAUAGUUA
rnacentral:misc_RNA from 1 species